rnacentral:rRNA from 1 species
UACGAAGGGGGCUAGCGUUGUUCGGAAUUACUGGGCGUAAAGCGCGCGCAGGCGGUUUUCCAAGUCAGUGGUGAAAGCCCGGAGCUCAACUCCGGAACUGCCAUUGAAACUGUUGAACUUGAGGACGAGAGAGGUGAGUGGAAUUCCCAGUGUAGAGGUGAAAUUCGUAGAUAUUGGGAAGAACACCGGUGGCGAAGGCGGCUCACUGGCUCGUAUCUGACGCUCAGGCGCGAUAGCGUGGGGAUCAAACAGG